AAAAUAGUCUCAACAAUUUCUUGUUUGUUUUGAGAUUAUUUGAGAUUUUAAUUCACAUUAUGCUAUUUUUGGUUGUUUUUAAUUGAUUUUAAUUGCUUUCUGACUUUAAAAAUUUAUGAGAAAAUUAGUCAAAGUUUGUUUGACUAUGUUGAACCUAUGAAAAUUUAAUUGGACUUAUUGAAGUUGUUUUGAAUUGACUUGGAGGUUCAACUUUGUUUGUUUGUUUUUUUAUUUGUGUUUUCU
rnacentral:lncRNA from 1 species